AAGUCGUAACAAGGUCUCCGUUGGUGAACCAGCGGAGGGAUCAUUACCGAGUUUUCAACUCCCAAACCCUUAUGUGAACCUACCUAUCGUUGCUUCGGCGGACUCGCCCCAGCCGGACGCGGACUGGACCAGCGGCCGCCGGGGACCAUCAAACUCUUGUAUUAUCAGCAUCUUCUGAAUACGCCGCAAGGCAAAACAAAUAAAUUAAAACUUUCAACAACGGAUCUCUUGGCUCUG
rnacentral:misc_RNA from 3 species